rnacentral:lncRNA from 1 species
GCAUUAUAUCUACUGUAUUCCAACUUUUCUAUGGCAAAAACUCUUCAAAGGAAACCAUAGAAUCAUCAAAACAAGCACACAACGCAAAGAAAACAGAAUCUGUCAAAAACAGAACAGUCUGUAGUAAUUAGGGAACUUCGUAUACUUCUGUAACUUCAAAAAUUCGGAAACAUUAGGACAACGUGGGAAGUUUGUAUAGCAAUCUUGUGUAAACAAUUCAGAGCAAAACUACAUUUCUAUGAUUUAUGAAAAUUAUUUUUCUGAGCGCAAAAGUUUAUGUUAUUCAACAAGAUCAAAUCAACUAUCACCCAACAUGAUCCCAAAGGCUUCGCUUGGCACAAACACUAAUUAAAACACAAAAAACACAAUCAUAACAGAGGCAUAAUUGUGCGAACACUCAAGAAAAUAAAGAAAAAGAUGAAAAUAAAAUUUAUUCAUUGGGUUGCCUCUAGCCAGGCAUCGAUAAUUUUAAUGAUGCUCACAUGAAUGACAAAAAAUUGAAGCACAAAGAGCAUCAUAUAGCAUGUGACAAACACAUCUGAGUCUAACAAACUUCCUAUGCAUAUGAAUUUUAUAACAAAACAAAUUAUCAAAGCAAGAAAUAGCUAGCAAAUGCAAGGAAGAAGAAUAAAACAUAGACAAUCUCAACAUGAAGAGAGGUAAUUUAGUAACAUGAAAAUUUCUACAACCAUAUUUUCCUCUCUCGUAAUAAUUACAUGUAGGAUCAUACUCAAAUUCAACAAUAUAUCUAUCACAUAACAUAUUCUCUAUAUGAUCCACAUGCAUGCAAAGUUGAUAUUCCAAAAUAGUGGGAUUAUCAUCAAAUAAAGUCAUGAUGUCUCCAAACCCACUUUUAUCAAAAAAUUCACAAGAUUGAUAAUUCUCCAAAGUAGUGGGAUCAUUAAUACCUAAAGUUGACACUCUUCUAAACCCUCUUUCAAUAUUAUUGCAAACAUAGUCAUCAUGAAGUUUAAACAAAUUUUCAAGAUCAUAAGAAUCAUUAUCACCCCAAUCAUGAUCAUUGCAAUAAGUAGUGGACAUAGAAAUAUUAGCAUCCCCAAGCUUGGGGUUUUGCAUAUUAUUAGCACAAUUGACAUUAAUAGAAUUUAUAGUAACAACAUUGCAAUCAUGCUUUUCUUCUAAGGAGCUAUCAUCAAUCACUUUAUAAUUUUCUUCUUUUAACACUUCAUCAUAAUUUUCAGAUUCAUAAAUCUCAAGCAAAACUUCAUAAAGAUAAUCUAGUGAACUCAAUUCACUAGCAAUGGGUUCAUCGUAAUUGGAUCUUUUGAAAAUAUUAGCAUGUGGAUGAGGAUCCAUAUCAAUAGAUUUUUAGUAAGGGAAGAUGCAAGCAACUAGAAGGCACAUGGCAACACAAGCAAACAUGAGAUCUGACGAGAAAAAGGCAAGCGAAAAAGAAGGCGAAUAAAACGACAAUUUUUUGUGAAGUGGGGGAGAGGAAAACCAGAGGCAAAUGGCAAAUAAUGUAAAUUGCAAGGAGAUGAGAUUUGUGAUUAGGAACCUGGUAGAUGUUCAUGAUGUCUCCCCGGCAACGGCACCAGAAAUUCCUUUUGAUGUUGGCUUGAACUACGUCGGUAUUUUCCCAAAGAGGAAGGGAUGAUACAGCACAGCAACGGUAGGUAUUUCCGUCAGUGUUGAGAUCAAGGUUAUCGAACCAGUAGGAGAACCACGCAACACCACGUAAACAGCUCCUGCAGACAAAGAACAAAUACUUGCAACCCAACGUAAGAGAGGGGUUAUCAAUCCCUCAUGGGUAAAAAGAUAGGUAAAAUUGUAGUAGAUUGGAUAAAUAGAUCUCGCGGGAACGCGAGAUAAAAUAAAUAAAUAAAAAUUGCAGCAAGGUAUUUUUGUAUUUUUGGAUUAAUAGAUCGGAAAAUAAAAAUAUAUCGUGAAGGCAAAUAUAAUAAAAAAGAGACCCGGGGGCCUUUGAUUUCACUAGUGGCUUCUCUCUCGAAAAAUAGCAUACGGUGGGUAAACAAAUUACCGUUGGGCAAUUGAUAGAACUUCAAAUAAUCAUGACGAUAUCGAGGCAAUGCUCAUUAUAUAGGCAUCACGUCCAAGAUUAGUAGACCGACUCCUGCCUGCAUCUACUAUUGUUACUCCACACAUCGACCGCUAUCCAGCAUGCAUCUAGUGUAUUAAGUUCAUGGAGAAAUGGAGUAAUGCAAUAAGAACGGUGACAUGAUGUAGACAAGAUCUAUUUAUGUAGAAAUAGACCCCAUCAUGUUAUCCUUAAUGGCAACGAUACAUACGUGUCAGUUCCCCUUCUGUCACUGGGAUCAAGCACCGUAAGAUCGAACCCAUCACAUAGCACCUCUUCCCAUUGCAAGAAAAAUAGAUCGAGUUGGCCAAACAAAACCCAAAUAUCAGAGAAGAAAUACGAGGCUAUAAGUAAUCAUGCAUAUAAGAGAUCAAAAGACUCAAAUAACUUUCAUGGAUAAGAACAUGGAUCUGAUCAUAAACUCAAAGUUCAUCGGAUCCCAACAAACACACCGCAAAAAGAGUUACAUCAAAUAGAGCUUCAAGAGACCAUUGUAUUGAGAAUCAAAAAAGAGAGAGAGGAAGCCAUCUAGCUACUAACUACGGACCCAUAGGUCUACAAUGAACUACCCACACAUCAUCGAAGAGGCACCAAUGAGGAUGAUGAACCCCUCCGUGAUGGUGUCUAGAUUGGAUCUGGUGGUUCUGGAACUUGCGGCGGCUGGAAUUGAUUUUCGUCGGAGGGUUUCUGGUAUAUUGGGGUAUUUAUAGAGCAAAGAGGCGGUGCGUGAGGCCACCGAGGUGGGCAUAACCCACCUAGGCGCGCCUAGGCCCGCAGGCGCGCCCUGGUGGGUUUUGCCCCCCUCGGGGCACCCCUCUGGUACUUCUUCGGCCCAUCUUGUGUCUUCUGGUCCACAAAAAAUCAACAAAAAGUUUCGCUGCGUUUGGACUCCGUUUGGUAUUGAUUUCAUGCGACGUAAAAAAACAAGCAGAAAACAACAACUGGCACUGGGCACUAUGUCAAUAGGUUAGUCCCAAAAAAAUGAUAUAAAGUUGCUAUAAAAUGAUUGUAAAACAUCCAAGAAUGAUAAUAUAACAACAUGGAACAAUAAAAAAUUAUAGAUACGUUGGAGACGUAUCAGACCCUGCCAAUGACUCCACGCCGCACCGCAGGUCAUCGCCAGCGAGCCAAACCAGACACCCGCCCCCCACCGCGGUUCUUGCUCCUCGCUCUUCUAUUCUACCUCGCCGACUGGCCUAUGCCGCGUGAUGCGUGAUGCCACGAGUCUCCUCCGUGCUGCCCGAGAGCGCUAGUUCGCCGCUGAUUGUAGCCUGCGUAGCCAACGCAGACGAAUCUCUGCCGGACCGUGUCCCUGAGCUCCGCCUCCUCGCGUUGAUCUCCCUCACCGAUGAGUUUGAGCACUUAUGGUCGGAGACGACUGAAUCGAGCCUUUCUUGGCCGCUAGUGCCGGCCACUCCCCUCCGUCGAUUCGCCGCCUCCAAGCCUGCCCCGAGCCCGCUGAACUCCCCCGCCACAUCUAAGUGAGCUCAUCUUUAUUUCCCCAAUCUCCUCUGCUUUAAUUUACGCCGUAGCAUCAUCCCCCGCGAGCUCCGAGCACGGCCGCCGCCAUGGCCGAUGAACUCAAGCAGUUCGAGCUCCCCUGUUGCAUCCAGUCGCAUGCGCAUCUCCAGGAGCUCCUAUGAUUUGGUUGAGCACUCUUAGUUAGCCCGGACGCGUUAUGUAGCUCCAACCGCAUCCAGCCUGUGCCACUGUCGUCGCCAACCUCAUUGUCGGCUUCAAUUCUGGUGACCAUUUGGACCGUGUCCACCACCCUUCAUUGCGCGCGAGCCUUAGCUUCCUUGUGCCACAAACCGCGCAUAAAAUAGUGCCUUGUAGCAAGCACACGAUGAACCUGCAUCACCGGUUGAGGUCGCCGACAACUAGUUCCGGUGAGCUGAUGUUGACGUAAUUAGCUUAGGCCUAAUUGCUUCAUUUUCACCUCAAAAAGACAAUGAUAGGUGGGUCCCUAUGGUUAAAUAACUGGCUAUUGUCUGUACGUAGGUGAAGAAAAGUCACAGAGACAUUGAUGGGUCACUGACGAGGGGGGCCCACUGGGCAAAUACCACUUUGACCUCAUCCACGUCAGCAUCUGACCGUGGCAAACCAGCCAGGGAAUUUUUUUGACCGGUAUGAGAUAGUUGAGGGGGGUAAAGGAGCAGAAAAAAAGAUCAAGGGGUUAUGUGAACCACCAACUUUUUUCAGGGUAGUAAAAUGGACUUUUUUAUUUCAUUAAUAUUUGUAAUAGUUUUGGGAGCAAACAGAAGCAUUCCGGCGUCAGCGGAAGGGUUUCAGGGUUUACUGGGUAAUAACGAUAAAUAAUAUAUAGGUGGCAAUAAUUUGCGGAGAUGUUAAAUUAACAUUAAGUUCCUCUAAUAAUAGUUAGGAUACUUUUAUAUUUAUUUAAAUAUAAACGAUCCUUAGAAGGCCAAGUGGUGAAAGGAUAUUGGGCCAUUUGGGCCAAUAGGAGGUGGCUCCCCCUUCCCUCUUGGAGAAGGAAGGGGCCGGGGAAGCCGAAUUGGAGGGGGUUUCCCCUUCCUCAUAGCCGGAUCAAGGGGGAAACCCUCCCCCUUGUGGCGCCCCCUCUAACCUCCUCCAACCUAUAUAAACUAGAGGUUUUGGCACUUUGGAACACACAAAUUUUGGAGCCUCCUCUAGUUCUCUAGGUCUAGUUCUAGUUGAUCCAAUUAGAGCUAGAUCUACAUCCUCUCUAAUCCUCAUAAUUAGUGAUUAUAAUUAGUGCUUAUUGUACAACUAUUGUUGUGUCAGUUUGGGGUUUUUGUUGGUUGCUAGAGGCAAUUGCAAGAGCAUGGUUUAUUGUUCUUUAGUGUUGCAUAGUAUCUAUAGUGUUACAUCUAUGUGGUAUCUUUUGCUGGAGGCAGCUGGUUUGGUUAUCCACAAUCUUUUGUUUUACUUAUUUACAGUCCUUUUGAGUAUCUCUUUACUGUCUUCCUAAUUUCCUUUCUUUUUGUUUUGUUUUAUAUUGUUUCAUGUUAUUGUUUUUCUCUUUUUAUUGUCCUUCCUUUUUUGUAGACACGCCAGAGGUCUAGUGAUUUUCCUUAGCUUCUACAUUCACUAGAUACUCUGGCAAGUUCUCCACUAUGAUUAGUGGCCUUUCACCUAGACAAGUUGCUAUUAUUUAGAGAUAUGGGGUAGAUUACCUUCUCAAGUUUGUGAAGACAGAGGUCCCUCUUACAUUUUGUCAAAUGGCUAGCAUCCAAAUUUGAUGUCAAGGCUUCUGAGAUUCAGCUUAGGAAAAUAGCCAUACCUUAAUGAAAUCAGCUUCGUCGUCUUACUACCGUUUGAUGCUAUAUAUUCCAUUGCACCUGGUUCGAUUGUAGGCACCUGCACUCAAUGUUUUUUGAAAGUAUUCCCCAUUUGUCCUUUUUUGCAUGUAUGUAUGUUUAUACAUAUGUAAGGUGCAACAAGUAGGUCAGAAAUGCAGUAAAGCAUGUAGCAAGUCAUUUACAAGAUUUUUUGUAUUGUUUUGUUUUUGAAAUCAGAGUUAUUUGUGUCAAUUCCAGUACAGUCUCUUCAUACACAAGUUCCUGAUUUCCUAUAUUUAUGUGCAAAUCAGAGCAUGUAAUUUACAAGUUAGGAUGCAGAGUAAUUACAUAGAAAAGGUCAGAGUAAAUUGAUCAAACAAGUCACAAUAAUUUGAUUUUAGUAUAUAGUUUCUUUUGCACUAAUGCCAACUAGUGUCAGUGCUUAACCUGAUUGUCCUUUGUCCUUUUUGUUAUCAUUUUAGUUUCAAUGUUAAUUUUCAUGGCAAAUUAGAUUCAGUGUGAACUAGUAUUAGAUCAUAGUAAUUUGAACUAAAACUUUUUACAAUACCAUUGUUUCUAAAAUACAGUCAUAUAUUCACAGCUUUAUACUGAUAUCUAAUCUACCAUGUCAAAAAUACAGUCAUAGAUUCAUAGAUACAAGUGUCCAAACAUGAGCAUAAGUAUCCGAACAAUGUACAGUUUCUCAGCACCAAAGUUUAUGAAAUUGUAGGAGUACUUCUAUUUUUGUGUGAACAAGUUGUUCCUAAAUGGAAUUCGUAGCUUCCUGAACAUGCCCCCUCCCAUCCCCAACUUUUUUGGUCCUGUGUUGUAGCUAUAGCCGUGAAUUUUAGAGCACUAAUUUUGCAACUAGUUUUCAGAAUCUAGUGUUCCAAGUUGUUAUUCCUGUGACCAUAGACUAGUAGUUCACGGGUCCAUAGUCUAGUUGUUCCUAGGGUUUCCCCUGCUUCAUGCUAUCUUUUCUGCCUGUGAUCUAAUCUUUGUUCUGUUAAGUUGCGCUCUUCAACAUAUGUGAAUGAUCCUCACAUGGUGCUUGUUUUUCUUUCAGAUGUCAUGAGGUAGGAGAGAGAUCUUGGAGGGGUGAAUGCAUAAGAGGUGGGGGUGUUUACCUAUGCUUUUUCUGCAUCUCCAGCCAGAUUUGUGUCCCAGAUAAUGGAGGAAUCGGCCUCUCUGGUUUGGACCCAUUUAAGUUCAUGUUGCUUGUGUGUUUACAUUGCACUUUCUUAGUGGAUUUACAAUGUAAUUCAUACCAGAUUUAUUGUAUUUUUCGCAACCACUGUAAUUCUAUGUGAUUUACACUGUAAUUCCUACUGGAUUUACAAUGUUUUUCUUAGUGGAUUUCCACUGUAAUUCUAAGUAGAUUUCCAAUGUAAUUCUAAGUGGAUUUACACUAUAAUUCCUACUGGAUUUACAGUGUUUUUCUUAGUGGAUUUCCACUUAAAUGCUUAGUGUAAUUAUUUAGUAUAAUUUUUUUGGAUUGUUGGUGUAUUUUUAGUGGUAUUAGGAGUGCAAGAAUAUAGGUUGUUAAGUUUCAAGAGAAGGCAUUGUUCGAACCAUAACAUGUGAAUUGAUUAAUACUUUAUCAUGAUGAGUUUUAUGAGAAAGAGUUGCUGUUAUGAUGCUAGGAUAAGUGAUUGAAAUUAUCAUUGAUCAAACUUAAGCACUAUGCUCGCAUUCACACUUCAUAGAUAAUUUCUUUUAUCAUUUACCUACUUGAGGGCGAGCAGUAAUUAAGCUUGGGGAUGCUGAUAGGUAUCCAACAUAUCUAUAAUUUAUGUAGUAUUCAUGCCAUGUUUACAACAAUUAUAUAUGGUUUUGGUAUGAUUCGAAUGGAACUAACCUGGACUGACGCUAUUUUCAGCAGAACUACCGUGGUGUUGUUUUUUGUGCAGAAAUAAAAGUUCUUGGAAUUGGACGAAACUUUUUGGUGAUUUUUUAUGGAACAAAUGAGCAACAUUGGAGCAAAUAACCACUAGAGGGGGCCCUACUGCCCACUAGGCACCAGGGCGCGCCACCCCCUAGGCGCGCCCUGGUGGGCAGUGGGCCCCUCGAGGCUCCCCUCAGCGUGAAACCGACGCCAAAAAAUCCUAUAAAUACAGAAAACCCAGAAAUAACCCUAGAUGAGAAGUUCAGCCACCGCAAGCCUCUGUAUCCACGAAAACCUAUCUGGGCCCUGUUCCGGCACUCUGCCGGAGGGGGGAAUCAUCACCGGAGGCCAUCUUAAUCAUCUCGGCGCCCACCAUGAUGAGAAGGGAUCGAGUAGUCCACCCUUGGGACUGAGGGUUUGUACCAGUAGCUAUGUGUUUAAUCUCUCUCUCUCUCUCUCUCUCUCUCUCUCUCUCGUGUUCUUUAUUUUGCACGAUGUUGAUGUACCGCGAGAUUUGUUAAUAUAGUUGGAUCAUAUGGUGUUUCUCCCUCUCUGUCUUGUUGUGAUGAAUUGAGUUUUACCUUUGAGAUUUCACUUUUAUCGGAUUGAAUACUUUUAUGGAUUUGAGAACACUUGAUAUAUGCCUUGCUAUGAAUACCCGUGGUGACAAUGGGGUAUCAUAUUGAUUCACUCGAUAUAUGUUUUGGCACUCAAUUCGCGGAUUGCCGAGGUGACAUUGGGGUAAUCUAUGCAUAGGGGUUGAUGCACGUUCUCGUCCUUGUUUCACCGGUAGAAAUCUUGGGGCACUCUUUGAAGUUCUUUGUGUUGGAUUGAGUAUUAUGAAUCUGAAAUUGUUUAAUGCAUAUUGUAUAAUCAACUCACGGUUACUCGUGGUGACAUUGGAGUAUCUAGGUGACAUUAGAGUUGGUUGAUGUGUAUCAUAUGGUGUUAUUUUAGUACGAACUCUUGGGCUAUUUGUGACGCUUAUAGGAAUAGCUCUAUAGAUCGAUCGGAAAGGAUAACUUUGAGUUGGUUUUGUACCAUACAAAAAGUUUCUUCUUAUGUUCUCCGCUAGUUAAGAACUUUGGAGUGAUUCUUUGUCGCACGUUGAGGGAUAGUUAUAUGAUCCAAUUAUAUUAGCAUUGAUGAGAGAUUGCACUAGCGAAAGUAUGAACCCUAGGCCUCAUUUUCAAGCAUUGCAAUACCAUUUGUGCUCACUUUUGUUACUUACUACCUUGCUGUUUUUUAUUGUUACUAUUACAAAAAUCAAUAUCUACUGUCAUUACUACACUUGUAUCACCAUCUCUUCGCCGAACUAGUGCACAUAUACAAUUUAUGAUUGUAUUUGGUGUGUUGGGGACACAAGAGAUUUCUUGUAUUUGAUUGCAGGGUUGUUUGAGAGAAACCAUCUUCGUUACACCUCUCACGGAUUGAUAAACCUUAGGUCAUCCACUUGAGGGAAAUGUGCUACUGUCUUACAAAACUCUGUGCUUGGAGGCCCAACACGAGUCUACAAGAACAAGCUGUGUAGUAGACAUCAACACCCUACUGUGUGCCCGUAGCAUUUUACAUUUAAUCUUUUUUGAAAUAAAAAUAAUCCAAAAAAUCAGAAAAUCAAUGAAACUUUGGAAAUUCAUAGAAAAUAAACUGUAACUCAGAUGAAAAUAAUUUAUAUAUGAAAGUUCCUUAGAAAACAAUAGCGAAUCCAAAUAUGACAUCCACAUACCUGCAACACCCCUGUAACAUAAUGAACCGAGACAUUUUGAAUCUGGUCAUAUGACCGAAAAAUACCUGGAGCUGGCAAAACAUUGCAAGAUACUUCCCCUCUUCUUUUAAAAUUCCUAGGGAUGCAUUAGAGCAUAUGAUCAUCACAUACUACCAUGACAUGCAUUGUGUUGCAUUUCAUUGCUCCGUUAUUUAUUUGGUUCCCCCUCUACUCAAUUCUUCGGUAGACCCCGAGACUGCCGGUGACCCUGAGUACGACUACGUCGACGAUGACCCGUUCUUCUCAGCAGGGCUUCCAGGCAAGCAGAACCCCUUGAUCAUUGCAAUAUCGCCUAUUCCUUCUCUCUAUUGCUUGCAUUAGAAUAGUGAUACUGUUACUGCUUUAUCAGUAGAUCCUAUACUGCCGCAUAGCCUAUCUUUGUUAACUGCUGUUGAUACGACCCUGUUGUCCUAUAUGCUUAGUAUAGGUUUGUUAUUAUCCCAUCAGUGGCCCUACAUCCUGGUCCGUGUUGCCAUGCUGUACUAUCUAGGUUAUUCGAGAUGAUGGAUCGUUGUACAAAGACCAGAACACCUCUUUAGGCCCUGCAAUUGUUCGACUCUACAGAGCCGCACUAUGGGUGAACUUACUAAGGGUGAUUCUUCGUUGUUCACUCUCAAUGAUGACUUUGCAGCGCAACACAUCUGGUGUGACCUUACGAAGGGUGAUUCCUCGUAUACCACUCUCGAUGAUGUCUGUGUCGUGCAGUACAUCAAGUGUGAAUCUAUCGAGGGUGAUUCCUUAGUUUUCACCUUGAUAGUAUGGACCUCUCCCGACAACCCCAAAUGUUAAAGACGGGUCGGCCCCAAGGGUACCUGAAUACAAAUUUCGUUCACCAAGUUCAAAAAAUGGUCAUUGAAUUCGAAAUAUGUUCAUUAAACACAAAAAAGUGUUCAUCAUUAUUAGCAAAUUUUAUUUUGUUUUUUCUUUCUUUCCUUUUUUCCAUUUUUAUUUUCAUUUUUGUUUUUUAUGUUUUAUUUUCUUUAUUUUUAAUAAAAGAUGUCCAUAAAGAUAAAAAAAUGUUCGUUAAAAUUAGAAGCAUCUUCACUCUUUUGAAAUCGUGAACUUUGUUUUAAUUUAAGAAAUCUUUUUGAAUAUGGUAAACAUUUUUUGAAUCCGUGAGCAUUAAUCAUUUUCUGAAAAUUACUUCAAAUCAUGAACUAUUUUGAAUUCUUGAACAUUUCAGAAUUUGCAACUUUUGUAGAAUACGAAUUAAUUUGAAAAAGGAAAAAAUUAAAAUGGACAAAAAGCAAAAAGAAAAACUACUUCCCUGUUUUCCUGUCCAAACAUGGGCCGACGCAUGGGAGUCGCGGGGAAGGGGGUGGGGUGGGGGGUGCGGGCUCGCCGGUUCCUAUAUGGCGCGUACGGCGGCACCUAGCGCCAUAGCACGCACCGCCAGGUCCCCUGCGCUCCUUCUGGGCUGGCCCUUGUGGGGCGCAAGGUACGCCAGUUUUGUUUCUUUUAUUUUUUUUCUUUAAUUUUUGUUUUAGUUUUUAUUUUGAAUUUCUUCCUAAUCUCUGAUUUUCAAUUUUUAUUUUCUUGUUUUUCUCAUUUUUGUUCGCUGAAUUAUAAAAUUCCAUCUAAUUCAGAAAAUGUUCAUGAAAUUGAAAUUUGUUCAUCAUAUUCAAAAUUUGUGCACCAUAAUUUAAAAAAAGUCCAUCUAAUACAAAAACUGUUCAUCCAGUUUUUAAAAAGUUCCGAUUUUCAGAAAAGUGUUCUUGAAUUGAGAAUUGUUUCAUCAAGUUUAAAAAAUAGAAAAAUUUCAUCUUAGUGAAAAAAUGUUCAUCGUAUUGGAAAUGUGUUCAGCGUAAUUUUAAAGAAGUUCAUCAAAUUAGAAAAUGUCCAUCAAUUUCAAAUGUUUUUCAAAAAUUUCAUCUGAUUUUUUCAGAAAAUGUUCUUGAAUUGAGAAUUGGUUCAUCAAGUUCAACAAUUGUUCAUCAAAUUCAAGAUAUAUUAAACUUAUAAAAAAUAUUCAUCAAUAUCCAAAUUCACGAACAUUUUUUAAAAUCAUGUACUUUUUUCAAAUUCAUGAACAUUAUUCGAAUUUAGGGAUUUUUUUGGCUCCACAAACUUUUUGAAAUUCGAUGUUUUUUUUUAAUUUUGGAAAUAUUUUGAAAUCCCAAAUUAUAUAUAAAAUAAAAAAAAUGAAAAAAUAAACAAGAAAAUGGGGGCUCCCCGCUGCUAGUCAAGGGCUGGCCCAAAUUGGGCGCGCGGGGGGCAGCGGGGGUGCGUGCGGGUCAAUUGGAAACUAGUUAACGGCAUCAUUUAUUAAAUGAUACACUAAUGUAAAAUGAAAAGGAACAUUUUUCUCAAUGAAAAAUGUAUAAAUGUUGUUUGUAUCCCACCGAGAGGUAAAUCGAAAUGGUCUCUAUAUUCCCAUAAUUUCAAUGGGCAAAGAUAACACAUAAAUUCUAAUAUUGUUGAUGUUCGUAUUGUUCUCCUCUAGGAAUAGCCUUUUGAAUCAUGUUUCACUUUAUGGUCAUUGAGUCCGUGCGCUCAAAUCAACCUUGCAUGCGUCACUAUGUAUAUGCGUAGAAACAAAGUUUGGACGCGAUCUUUGUGCAUUACCGCAUCUAUGCAUAGAUAAAGAGUUUGUAUGCGGGAAUACUUGCGAUCCUCAUAAUUACCACGUCUAAUCAAAUAUAUCCUAGUAACAACCAAUUUUCUUUUAUAAAAAAUAAGCGUAUGCAUACACACACACACACACAGGUGUAGGGAAUUAUUUACUUAGUCCUCAUAUAACUUAUAUUUUUUUCCUCUAUAAGAUGAGUAUAUCUCUUUCUUGGUUACCCAAGCUUCCAUAUAUGUAUUUUAACCAUGGUGGGAUUAUUUUCACAGAGGUGACAUGAACCCUGAGAGUGGCCUAAGACAUCUCUAAGUAACUAGAUUACCGGAAAAACAUCUUUAUUGACAUCAAUUUAUUAAAUAAAUUUAUUCAAUAUUGCAUGGCUCAAGCAGGAGAACCAGCAAUUAUAUUAUUGUUCUAUACAACAACAGUUUGGAAUCUGAACGUUAUGGGUCUUGCAAUAGUGCCUGAAUCGGUGUUGCAUUAUACGAUUACACAUGUCUUCGCACCUCGGGCUAUCACAGGGAUUGAGAGUCUCACAAACCACAUUAUGAACAGAUUCUGCAAAUGCAACAUCUACACACAGAUCAAACAAGCUAUAUUAGCAAUGUGUUGACUAAUUUUAACAAUAGGAAAGUUCACAAAAAAUAGGGGUAUAAAAUGCUACAUACCAGUUCCUGCAUGGCAGGAUGGGAAGGUAGAACACAUCAUAGAAAGCACCAUGAAAGCAAUAGUUAUGGAACACAUGACUGUCGGCCAUCCUGUACUGUUCUUAGCGAGUGCCAUGAGGACAAAGAGAUUAGUUUUUUCCUGCUUUUCCUUACUUAUUAUGUUCUUAUGUGACCACUUCCUACAUAUAGAGAGCCACAAUAACAUCUUAGAUAAUGAUCUCACAUUAAUGUAUUUCCCUACCAAUAGCUGCCAAAUCUUGCUGAUUCAAGAUAAAUUUUGUUCGCUCUUUUAUAUGGAUCAAUGGAAUUUAUUUCAUAUGUAUUUGCAUGGUAAUGCUAG